GGUUAACUAAUGCUGCUCAUGGGGCUAGAAGAUCAACAUUCAUCCCUGGCACAACUCUUUAGGAAUUGUGCCAGGAACCAGUAGCUGAACUUCUCCCUAAGAGCAGAGGACAGCACUACUAAAUGCCUGGAGUCUUAAAUGGUUGCUCGUUUGUCAAGGUGACACUUGUGGUCUUGCUGAAGCACGAGCUGAGAGACAUCUCUGUUACCCAAAGAAAUGUGUAACCAAUGGAGCUUGAGCACUUACGUUGUUGUUACAAUAGCAAAUGUUAUCUACAUAAUUACAAAGUUAUGUUCUGAUAGGGAUUCUUAUUUAAGCCUGUUACAUGCUCCAGCAAAGCAGAAAAUCCCUUACUGAGUACCGUUAAUAAUGGAGCAUUAAGAAUACACUGUUUUCUUUCCUUGCUUUAUAUACACCUAUUUAUUUUUCAAAUGACUGUAUUUUGGUACUUUCUAGGAUUUCUCUCCUGGGUGCUGGAAAGGUCUUUCCCCUGGACCUGACGACAAGAGGCAAUGUCACUGCGAAUGUUUCUGCUUCUCAGAUUCAUCAGAUGUCUGGAGAGAAACAAAGUUCCUGCCUCCUUUUUAUUGAGGAAAAGUAUUUCUAAAAGUGCUCUGCUCAGGCCUGGUGCGUCGGAUUCCAGCCUUCCUCGUGCUUGCACAAAUACUUCGCUGACUUCACCAUGGUUCUUGACCAUAUGCCAUAAUCUACUCGGGCUGCACCAUGUGGCUGAGUUCAAGCUUGCUUCAGGAUCUUUGGCUUCUGCUUUCCUGACAAAGCCUGCUGGAUUUCAGGACCUCAGAGCAGCAUUCUUCAGGCUGUGGGAAACAUGGUGCUCUGGAUCAACCCAGGAUGGAUGGGAAGCACUCUUUCAUCAGCAAAUGAAAUUUUCUGUAGAAAUCGAAAACGUAUGCCUACUAUAUAGAAAGUAGGCUGAAGACUUCAAAGGAAGAGCUUCCUCUUCAGAGAGAGCAUUCAUAUGCAAUAGCUUUUGAACAUGUAACCUCUUCUUUCUCAGAGUACAAAAACAAGUGGCUUCCGUAAGGUUUAUGUUGGUAUGGAUUUCAGCUGUGCAAACUAUAUGGCAACCAGUACAAACUGGGCUCAUAAAGAUUUGGGAAAAAAAAUAGAAAAAGGCUUCAAACAAGCCAAUAUUCAAUGAUUGGAACUAGUUCAAAAAAAAACCCUAGGCCUUACUUGAUAUAAAAGGCUUGGACCUCUCAAAAUAAACAGCCAAUUAAGUCAGAUUCUGAACA
rnacentral:lncRNA from 1 species